rfam:Gossypium hirsutum cultivar TM-1 unplaced genomic scaffold scaffold3689.1, whole genome shotgun sequence
UGUUAAAAAUUUCAUCCAUUGCUACUGUUAAAAACUGGUGCAGUUGAUAAAAUAACCAAAAAAUUACACAUAAUGUGUCACGUGUACCUCAUGCUAAUGUACAGGGACCAAUUUUUAACAGUAGAAAUGGAUGGAACUUGUAACA